CUCAGACUCCAUACCCAGAAAAUGAGCCCUCCCAGGUCUGAUGGAUGGACUUCACUGCAGAAUAAGGGAGAGCUUGCUGAUCCGAGGUUCGCUUCCCAUCUCCUACCUCCGUCAUUAGUGGGCCAUGCACUUACAAUUAUUCCACCUUUUAUGUAAGUAUGUUCCAGUAUUGCCCUCUUUCUGUAGAUGCAUGACAUUUGGUUCAGAAUUUGAAACAACUUCUGAAAGGAUGGCACAGAGAUGCAGAGAUGGGCUAUUUCCAAGAAUUAAAGAAGAAAGCAGGUGUGUUGCAUAAGAAUGUUUCGAGUUCUGAUGUUAUUUUGAGGAUGACUAGUUGUCUGUUUAGAUUAGAAUCACUUUGCUUCUUUUGGGCAAUUUUUCUUAAACUUUGAAAAAUUGAACUAAAUCAUCUAUGACCAAGGUUUUCUUUAAAAUUUUAUACUAGUUUAAUUGUCACAGUCAACAUGGAACCAAUCAGGUAAGGCUCAGCCAUAUCCAAUACAAUAGCCACAUACCAGCUAAAGUGGAUGAACCCUAAGGAGCUAAACAUGAUUGGAACAGCAGGGAAAAUAGCUUUGGUAGCAUACUUUUCUAGUUUUAUCUUUGAUUUCUUUGUUUUCUUGGCUUUUUUUAUAGCCACAGUUCUAGAAGAUCAUUUCCAGUGUCUUUCUUACCUGUAAGAUGUCCUGGGUUAGAGAAAGUGCAAGAAUGUGUUCCUAAUGAAUACUCAGAGUUCAUUGAGCAUAAUAGUUAUUGAGUAGGCUCCUCAAUUGUGGAAGUUCUAGUUAAUUCCUCUGUGAAACUAAAUUGAUGUCUGCAAUAAUACCUACUUAGUGGUGUUACAAAAUUAGAUAAUAGAAUGCAUAUGCAAUGUAUAUUCAAUAAAUAUUAGCUGCUAUUCUACUCAGAACAGCAACCAUUAUUUCCCAGAGGGUUUGUUAAAAUAUAAUUUUUUUUUUUUUGCUUUAUCUCUGUGUCUGAUAAAUAGCAGGCUCUGUAUUUAUUUUUAGGAAGUUCUCUGGGCGUUUCGGAUUCACAUUCAAAUUGGAUUGUUAUUAACCAAAAGGAAAGAGGAAGGAAUUAUGAAGAUCUGAUUUUACUGUUGUUCUUGUCCAAGGAACAGAAUGAGCCCUUGCAUCAUCUCUGUGGUCCAGCUCAGCUCAUCUCACCAGAACAAAAGGUCCAACCUAUCCAAAAAUUAUAGUAUUAUGACUUUUGGCUUUACACAGGAGAAAGAAGAGGUGUACAGGUUCUCCCACAUACAGAAUCAUGACUCACCAUCACUGAUGCCCUCUGAAACAUCGAGACCAGCAGUUUUAUAUAAAAUAAAAGAUAAAAUCCAGCUACUCAAGAGGAGAAAGCAAGAGGAUUCCAAGUUUGAGGCCAGCCUGGGCAGCUUAGUGAGAAUCUCUCCCAAAAUAAAAUAAAAAGGGAUGGGAUGUAGCUCACUGGUAGAGUGUCACUGGAUUCAAUCCCUAGUGUUACAAAAGUAAGUCAACAAACAAACAAAUAAAUAAGUUGUUGUCCUUUAUCAAACUUGAACUCUAUUUCAAACUACAAAUGGCAACUCCAGUUAAGGAUUUUUACUUCUCUAAGUGGAUUUAAUUUUAAAGAGAAAGUGGGUUUUUUGUUUUGUUUUUUUCGGCUGGGGUCUCGCCAUAUGGGAAAACAGAGUUAGAACAAUAGAUCAUUAACUCACAGAAGCUCCUCUUUUUCCCCCUGAUUAAAGGCAUCUCACACUUGGUAUGGUUGUGCAUACCUGUAAUCCCAGCCUCUUAGGAGGCUGAGUAAGGAGGAUCACAAGUUAAAAACUAGUUUCAACAACUUAGUGAGGCCCUAAAAAACUUAGUGAGAUCCUGUCAUAAAAUAAAAAGGGCUUGGGAGACAGCUCAGUGGGAAAGCACCCCCGGGGUUCAAUUACCAGUACCAAAAACAAACCAACAAAAAGCAUCUCACAACCAUACACAGAAUUUCCUACUACCUUAGUACUACUUAUAUGUUUUUCUUUUGCUGUGGCAAAGAAAUAAAUUUAUUAUGCCAAAGUGGAUGUUCUAAAGCCAGCCCUGUCAGAUAAGACAGUUCAAGAAGCUGAUGGGAAAACUUGUCUCCUUUCAGAGAUGGAAUUUUGUUAUUUUGCAGACAUCUCUUUCUAAAUGGGAAAAGCAUACUGGGAUGGUCUCAGAUCUUCUACCAACACUUUUCAUUAUUACCUGAAGCUGCUGAUGUAAUGCAAAUUUUGAGAAUCGGGUAGUAAAAACACACCAGGAAACAUGGUUUCCUUCACCAUAUUUGAACUUCUGAGACCCGCCAUGCAAUAAAACCCCUGAGCUUUCCUACACAACCUGAGUCAGUGACCACAGGUGCUUGCAGUAGACAACACCUGCUCGAUUAAGUAGGAGCGCACCUUGACCAAGAAAUCAAUUCUGAUAGAAUCACCAUAGUUAAAAUCACCAGUUCCUUCAAAC
rnacentral:lncRNA from 1 species